CCACACACUUUAUUUUGCUCCUGGCUUAUAAGUCUGAAUAGUCACUACAAGGUGUGACUGUUUUGCACUGAUAUCUUCGCAGAGCCUGCUGAGUUUGAAGAGGAAGUGACUGAUGCUCCUGCUGAGGAUGAACUUGAUGAAACUGCAGUGACAGAGUUUGAAGAGGAGCCGGCUAAUGUGUCUGCUGAGGAGCCAACUGAAGAAGCAUGGAACUAAGGAGAUCAUGGAAUUAUUCUGCAAAUUCACCUGUGCUUAUAGCAAGGCUAAAUGUUACCAUACAUGUACAAAAUGUAUUCAUACAUGUACAUGUAUUCAUUUUGGGCCAUUAUGUGUGCGCUAUAUCUUAACUGUAGAAAAAGCCAAACUUCUAUUGUGUUAAGGGUACUUAACUAGGUAAAAGGGGAACUAUUUUGAGUAAAUAUUAAAUAUACUAAUAUACUAUGAAUAUGGAUUUUCAAUAACACUCUGUAUAUUUAAAGUAGAGUUUUGAGAACAUGUAACACUACAAAAGGGGAACUUUUUAAGGACACU
ensembl:lncRNA